AGCGAACGCUGGCGGCAGGCCUAACACAUGCAAGUCGAACGAACUCUUCGGAGUUAGUGGCGGACGGGUGAGUAACACGUGGGAACGUGCCUUUUGGUUCGGAAUAACUCAGGGAAACUUGUGCUAAUACCGAAUGUGCCCUUCGGGGGAAAGAUUUAUCGCCAUUAGAGCGGCCCGCGUCUGAUUAGCUAGUUGGUGAGGUAACGGCUCACGAAGGCGACGAUCAGUAGCUGGUCUGAGAGGAUGACCAGCCACACUGGGACUGAGACACGGCCCAGACUCCUACGGGAGGCAGCAGUGGGGAAUCUUGCGCAAUGGGCGAAAGCCUGACGCAGCCAUGCCGCGUGAAUGAUGAAGGUCUUAGGAUUGUAAAAUUCUUUCACCGGGGACGAUAAUGACGGUACCCGGAGAAGAAGCCCCGGCUAACUUCGUG
rnacentral:rRNA from 1 species